rnacentral:lncRNA from 1 species
CAGCUAUUUUAUGAGAACGGGCAUUCCCAGUUGAUUGGGUUGACAAAACGAAACCAAGGAACUGUGUCUUAAAACUGACGUAUCCUGCUUAAUUGUACACAGGGGACACUACUCCAAAGCAGGAGUUGGACAAAUCUGAGUCUUUUAGGGCUGGGGACUGAACCCUGGGCCUGGAUAUGCCAGGCAACACCCUACCAACUGAACGUUCUUCCAGAAAUCCCAGGUUCCAUUCCCAGUAUCCACAUGGAAGAUUACAACCGUCUGUACCUCCAGCUCCAGGGAAUCAGACCCCUCACACAGACGCACAUGCGAGCAAAACACCAAUGCACAUAAAGUUAAAUAAAUCAUUAAAAAUAAAAGGC